rnacentral:rRNA from 1 species
UGGCGGAGCUAGUGCAUACUCUAGGCGUAGUAAAUACCAUUCUCGCUUUUGUAGUAGGCCUGGCGGCUUGCCGUAAAACCCCUAUAUUUCUAGUGGUUGACCUCGGAU